AAGUAGUUGUUUUGCACCUAGAGCUCACGAAGCCAGCCCUGCACUCAGGAAGCUGAGGAAGGAAGAUUGCCUUAAGUUUGAGGCUAGAGCAGGUUACACAGUGAGUGUCAGCCUGAGCUAACAAUGACACCACUUUAAAAAUGCAGACAAACAAGAAAGUUACUAUGAAAGGUGUUAAUUUGUCAAAUUACAACAAACCCCAAAAAGGUAAUCUCUCAAUUUACUGAUGAUUAAAUCGAGAUUAAGAUUAUUAAAUAUGAUUUUCCAAACACAGGGGAUUGAAGUUAUCCAAGACUUUUGUAAACAGAAGCUUUGUUUUGUUCUGUUUUGUUUUGUUUUUCCCCUCGUCCCCACGUGGCAUGACCGGAUGGUUUUGCAAGUUGAGUAACUUGCCUCUGCCAAGGACCCUUGCCUGGACCCUGGACGAAAGGGGAAGACGCAAGGUGCAAUACCAAAUGCUCGGGCUCUGUUAAAAUCCUAACUUCAAAUAGGAGCCUUGCACAAUAACCCCAAUCUUUUCCGUUUUCAGCGACGGGGGUGCGGGUAGGUGGGAGUGGGGUGGCUGCGAUGUCACUGGAAUCCUAGACCGAGAUUGUCUGGAACUGCUAACACUUGUUUUGCUGGUUAAAAGGUACUUACCAUUUCUACUUUGAAGAAAAGCAUGCAUAAGAUUUUAGAAAGGAAAUUGUCUCUUACAUCGCAGAAAAGACACGGAACCACACUUGGACUUGUACACGUGGAACAAACUCUUUUGAGGCUCCCAGUGAGCGAUAGGAACCGCUGAGGCUGUUUUCCAUAGGGGUUACUUGCACAGCAAGGUGAUCGGACUAGGUGGGACCAGGACGUGAGCAGUCCUCCUCUGUGGGCUGGGACCAAACAGUUGUCCCCAGCCCCGAAAACAAUGGAAUAACUCGGGACGAAUGGUCCCGGGGCUACGUGGCGUGUGCCCGGGAAGGAGGCGCUGACCCCGGGGACCCUGGCGUGGAAAAACAGGAUGUUGGUGACAGAGCCUGGGAUGGAAAGGCAUCGCAGGAACUGUACUUUGACACCUACGAAGUGUGCAGAGGAAGCAAACGCCAGAAUUGAUGCUCUGUCAAACCUUGACUGCAAGAUAAAAUUGGCUGACACUGGACAAAUGAUGAGGAGCUUGAAGAGGACACACAGUAGGGGUUUUUGUUGUAUAUCUCAGCCUGGCUUCCACAUCAUAAUUCUCCUGCCUCCACAUCCCAAGAGCUGAAAUUGCAAGUGCUGAUCAGAUAGAAUAUGGCGCACUGCUGAAGCUGCCCGAGGCUGAGGACUCAGCUCAGAGGCCAAUUCCAUGCAAGCUGCUAUGUGGACGUGAGCAGCUCCUCGUGUCCGAGUCUGGCCGUACUGCACAGACAUCACUUUUCCUUCUUGUCUGAGUCUUUCUCUUGGAUGCUAGCCAGAACCUAACUGUGUGCUUCUGGUACUCAAACCUCUCUGCUCUUUUCUGAAGCUAAGGUAGAUUCUUUUGUCGUAUGGCUCUGUGCUAAACUUCGUGCCUAACUCCAAGAGACUCGCUCUCCCUCCUCUCCAGCCUUCCUGCUCUGGCUGCCACUGAGAUUCGGAGCUGCCUGACCUGUGAGUUUUCCUGUAAUCUCCAAUAAAAUUGUCUUUAAGCAUCCUUCUAGACUAUUCCUAAAUUCUUUUAUUAAUGAGACCAAGAACCCUAAGUGGCUAGGGACAGAGAGUUUCCAGUUUCAGUGGUAACACAUGGUUCACCAGACCAGACUCCUUAAAAUUUCUGGUAACAACUGUAAUAAUAAAUAUGUGUGGGACCAUGAAAGGCAGUCUGUGGUCUGGUUGAGCGAGGUUUACUCUGGAGACCCUGUAGAAUAUUCUACAAGGGAUGGAACUGUGAGCCGUGCUCCCAGACACUUAGGAUCCUGACACAAGUCCCUCAGCUCCAUAGUCCUGUGGCCAUCUGUCAUGUAGGGCAAUGCCCGAAGCUCCUAGUAUUCAGUCUGGACUCCACCCUCACAGUCACCUGGCUACAUCCAGGCAUGCUCCUCCCCACAGUUACCUGGCAACAGCCAGGUAGCCCAGCCCACUGUAGAGGGGCUGGUUUGCCCCUCCAUGCUUUCUUGCUUUUUCUCUUGCCCCCUUGCUCCCUCUCCCUACAUCGCCAUGGCGGGCUCUCUCUCUCUCUC